rnacentral:rRNA from 1 species
UACGGGGGGGGCAAGCGUUGUUCGGAAUUACUGGGCGUAAAGGGCUCGUAGGCGGCCAACUAAGUCAGACGUGAAAUCCCUCAGCUUAACUGGGGAACUGCGUCUGAUACUGGAUGGCUUGGAUUUGGGAGAGGGAUGCGGAAUUCCAGGUGUAGCGGUGAAAUGCGUAGAUAUCUGGAGGAACACCGGUGGCGAAGGCGGCAUCCUGGACCAAUUCUGACGCUGAGGAGCGAAAGCCAGGGGAGCAAACGGG